rnacentral:misc_RNA from 1 species
AGUCGUAACAAGGUUUCCGUAGGUGAACCUGCGGAAGGAUCAUUACCUUCUGCUGUAAAUUUUAAAGUCAGCUUUUGGUUCUUGGGGGGGCCUUGGCAGUCUCUGCAGUCUCUGACUACAUCCGUGUUUUUUUGCGUACUACAUGUUUCCUCGGCGGGCUUGCUUGCCGGUUGGACAAACUAAAACUCUUUGCAAUUGCAAUCAGCGUCUGAAUUAUAUAAUAAUUACAA